rnacentral:lncRNA from 1 species
UUCUAUGGGUCUCUAUGGGGUCUAUGGGCCUUUAUGGGUCUCUAUGGGAUUUCAAUGGGUCUGUAUGGGAUCUAUGGGGUCUCAAUGGGUCUGUAGGGGAUCUAUGGGGUCUCAAUGGGUCUGUAUGGGAUCUAUGGGAUCUGUGUGCGUCUGUGGGUCUCUGUGGGGUCUCUGUGGGGUCUCUGUGGGGUGUGUGUUUGCUGUGUGUCCCUAUGGGGCGCUGUGUGACCCUAUGGGGCGCCGUGUGACCCUAUGGGGCGCUGUGUGA